rnacentral:rRNA from 1 species
UACGGGAGGCAGCAGUGGGGAAUAUUGCGCAAUGGGGGCAACCCUGACGCAGCAACGCCGCGUGCGGGACGAAGGCCUUCGGGUUGUAAACCGCUUUCAGCAGGGAGGAUAGUGACAGUACCUGCACAAGAAGCCCCGGCUAACUAUGUGCCAGCAGCCGCGGUAAU